GUGCUCAAGAGGAUAAGGCCUCUCCAGGAGAUCAAGAUCACGCUUCACAUCAGCAACAAUUUUUUGGGGGAGGGGGGGAAUCCAACGAUGUCUCUACAGCAGAAAAUAUUUCUUACACUCUCCACUUCCCCUAAUCUUCUAAGGAUCUUAUCAUGCUUCGAAAGCUAAAAAUGAAAUUUUUCACUUCUGUCAUGGGAUUCUCAGUGAUGUCUAUUUGAAGAGGAUCUUCACAAUAACUUUCCUCCAACUCUGCUCCAGUGCAGCAUCGAUGAUAACAUUCUUCACAUCCAUCCUGUGAGUCGCAUGUAUUUAUGUUCCUCCGGUCACUCAAUCAUGUCGUAGGAUGAAAGGUCUGAAUCGGCACGGGUGACUG